GGCGGAGUAGCUCAGCUGGUUAGAGCAUGCGGUUCAUACCCGCAGUGUCGGGGGUUCGAGUCCCUCCUCCGCCACCA
rnacentral:tRNA from 1 species